rnacentral:misc_RNA from 1 species
AACGCAUAUUGCGCUCUUUGGUAUUCCGAAGAGCAUGCUUGUUUGAGUAUCAGUAAACACCUCAAAGCUUUUGGAUUUUUUUUUUUUUUGAAAGCUUUGGACUUGAGCAAUCCCAACACCAAUCUUUUUCAGAUCGGCGGCGGGUUGCUUGAAAUGCAGGUGCAGCUGGACUUUCUCCUGAGCUAAAAGCAUAUUCAUUUAGUCCCGUCAAACGGAUUAUUACUUUUGCUGCAGCUAACAUAAAGGGAGUUUGACCGCAUUGGCUGACUGAUGCAGGAUUUCACAAGGGUCGGCAACGAUUCUUGUUAAACUCGAUCUCAAAUCAAGUAAGACUACCCGCUGAACUUAA